UACGUAGGGUGCAAGCGUUAUCCGGAUUUAUUGGGUUUAAAGGGUGCGUAGGCGGUCUGAUCAGUCAGUGGUGAAAUACUCGGGCUUAACCUGAGGGCUGCCAUUGAUACUGUCAGACUUGAGUACAUACGAGGUGGGCGGAAUUUGUGGUGUAGCGGUGAAAUGCUUAGAUACCACAAGGAACACCGAUAGCGAAGGCAGCUCACUAGAUUGUAACUGACGCUGAGGCACGAAAGUAUGGGUAGCAAACAGG
rnacentral:rRNA from 1 species